UGCAGAAAUAGAAAAGCCCUUUCUGUAAAUC
rnacentral:piRNA from 1 species